AUCAGCCUCAAAUUGCUGACAAUCUACAGUUUCUGCUCUCUUACCUAGAAGCAGUCAUAUUCCCAAUUACCAUGGCAACCUGGAGUCUGCACAUCUCACACCCUGGUGUCCAGAACAAUGGCCAUGUGUUGGAUAAGUGUGUGUUUGUGUGUGUACGCACUCAGGGCCACUGCACACCCCAGUGGCUAUUAAGUAAUCAAAAAGUGCGCAUGGAAGACUUAUGUUGAUCACCCAUGGGAAACAGAAAGUGCACCUUUUUGAUGCUUUGGACCCGGGGUUAAUAAGCUACACCCCAUGGGCAAAAUCUGCUUGUUUUUGCAUAGCUCUCAAGCAAAGAAUGGUUUUCACUUUUUUAAAUGGUUAAAAAAUCAAAAGAAGCCUCUUUCAUGACAUGUAUAAUUAUAUGAAAUUCAAAUGUCAAUGUCUAUUUUAAAAGUUUUAUCAGAACAUAGCCCCACUCCUCUGUUUACAUGUUAUCAGUGGCUGCUUUUACAGUUAAAAUAGGACUGUGACAGAAACCAUCUGGCCCAGAAAGUCUGAAGUAUUUACUCUUGAGCUGUUUACAGAAAAAGCCUGUCCACUCCUGGUCUAGGCCUUCCAUUCAACAAACUUUCACUGAGAAUAGGCUCGUGUCAGGCUCUGGGUCACCCCUGGUGACUGGGAAUACUGAUGAAUAAAGUGUGGACUUUGUCCUCAUCUGGCUCAGGGUCUAGUAGGGGAGCACAGAGGCCGGGUGCAGUGACUCAUGCAGGUAAUCCCAGAACUUUGGGAGGCCAAGACAGGAGGCUCACUUGAGUCCAGGAAUUCAAGACUGCAGUGAGCUAUGAUUGCACCACUGCACUCCAACCUGAGCAAGAGAGUGAGAUCUUAUCUCAAACAAAAAGAGAGCACAGAGUGCAAACACCUAAUCCAGGAUGUUUCUAGAGAUGCCAGGCCCACUCUUGGAUACCCUUCACCAAGUUUGUGUAGAGAUCCCAGUUUGAGGUAACCUGCAAGGGAUCCUAGGCAAUCAUGAUUCCACUGAGGGCACAAUUCAAUUCUGUAAAAGAGCAAGCUGGUCCCUUGAAGCAUAGCCAGUGGUCCCUGCAGGUGCCCAGAAUAUAGGGUGGCUCUCAUAUCCAGGUGACAUCCUGUGCCAACCUGUUCUGACUGGUGCUUUGCAAACAGGUGUAGGGAGGCACACUCAUGGUAGGCUGAAGUCCCUCAGGCAGCUCUCCAACAGUCCGUGGGUCACCUGUCUGCUGUGUAUGGCCAUGUGCCCUGUUCCCUUGGAGGAUUGUUUUAUUGCUUCACUGUUACCUUUUUAUUGCCUGUUCAGCAUGCAAUCUGGUCUCUCCUGGCCUCACAUGGAUUUAUAAUGUCUCCUGCCCUGAGUAGACUCACCAAGUCUUCUGAUGCCUCCUUUGGGGAGACUUCUCACAGGAGUCAAGGCAGAGCCAAAGACGUUCAGCACCAAGCAUGAAGCGUUAUCAGUAAAGCAGUGAAAUGACAAAAUACCAUUCAACAUGCCAAUACCUAAAUGUGGACCUGUUUGUUGCAGACCUACCUUCUACCAAGGAUCCUUCUACCAAGGGUGACUCGACCAGGCUAAACCUAAAGGUUAUACAGAUCAAAGGGCACCACUUUCCUCAAAGCCGAAUGCAUAUACAAUACUUGCAUAAUGGAAUCUAUGAGCUGGGUUCAAAGAUAAUGGAUGGGGCUAACUGGGGUUUUGAAUGUGAGCCUUAUCCAUAACUAAGGGAAUAAGAUGAACUCCUUUUGCUGCUGAAUGGGCAGGAACAUGAGAUGGUCCAGGAAAAGUCUCCAAAAGCACUAAUUGGCAAGGAGAGAGGUUCUAUUUUUGCCCAGCUGGGCUGAAGAUGGCCCCCAGCAUGCUGAGCCAGUGAGUGACACUUGUCUGUGUUUACUACAUCAGCGCCUCGGUCUGUGAAGUCCCAGGCUGGGCUGGUGUCCUGUUGGAUUAACACAGGACAGGCCACAUGGUCCUAGAGAGCCCUAAGCCCUAAGGAAGCUCCACAUGCAUUAUCACCUCCACCACCAAGAUACCUCACUUUCUGGAAUGUUGUAUAUAAACAAAAUGUGUAUAAUUUGAAUGAAAAUACCAAUGCCCUAUUGGAAAUUACAUUUGCAAUUUACAUUUGUAUCAUGCUUCACAAUGUUAUAAGCUAUUUUCAAAUACAUGAUUUUCCCCUAGUCUUUGUAACAGUCGUGAGAGGUGGCUAUUAUCACCACUAUUUUACAGCUAAAGGUGGUGAGACUGUGUGAACAUGCUACUUUGCACAACUUCCAGAGGCUAGUAAGCUCUGAGUUAGUAAGUCCAGUGGCUCCACAAUGUCCCCAGAGAUCCCUGUUCUUUUCAUCUUCCCACUCUGCCUUCCUCACCACUCAGUUCUGUCCGCAGGCUUACUUCCUCGGUGGCCACGGUUCCAGGUACCACAUCCUCAUACCACAAAACUCAGUAGCAAAAAGGGACCAUGUCUUCUUUGGGUUCAUUUUUAAGAUUAAAGAAAUCCUCACUGGAAGCCCUUGCCUGCAGACUUUUUCUCCUGCCAUGUUAGCUGGAAUAGGGUCAUAUGUCCAGUCUUAAUCUAAUUGCUGGAAGCAGGGAUGAAUGAUCAGCAUUGGCUUGGAUAAAGUACGUUGACUGGUUACACUAUAAAUUCAUGACUACCAACCUCAAGAACUCUCUUAAUGCUGCCUUGCAAUCAUACCAUAUUUUCCUAGACUAGUGAGUCUUAAACUUAAGUGUGCAUCAGAGUCACCUGGAGAACUUGUAAAAGCCCAGAUUGCUGGGCUUGGCCACAGACCUUCUGAUUCAGUAGGUCCAGAGUGGGGCCUGAGAAUCUGCAUUUCUGACAAGUUCUCAGGUGAUGCUCAUGCUGAUGCUAUAGGUUCUGGGAUCACACUUUGGGAGCCACUGCUCCAGAUCAUUGACUAUCCCUACUGUCCAAGACAACAGCCAUUUGCAUAAGCUUUUUCCUCAAACUUCUGACACCUCCCUUCACACAUUUCUCAAUCUCAACUGAUAAUUUUGUUGCUAAUUUCAUUGAGAACAAAGAAAAACAAUCAGAAGAAAACAUGAUCCCACCAUCAGAUCUACCAAGUACUUGUACACUGACUUCCUUUCUGCUACUUUUUUUUUUUUUUUUUUUUUUUGAGACAGUCUCACCCUGUCGCCCAGGCUGGAGUGCAGUGGCAUGAUCACAGCUCACCGCAGCCUUGACCUCCCAGGCUCAAGCACUCCUCCCACCUCUACCUCUCGAGUAGCUGAGACUACAGGCUCACCACCAUGUCCAGCUAAUUUUUUUGUUUGUGUGGAGACAAGGUUGCACCAUGUUGCCCAGGCUGGUCUUGAGCUCCUGAGCUGAAGUUAUCUGCCUGCCUAGGUCUCCCAGAGAGCUGGGAUUACAGAUGUGAGCCACCACGCUGUCCUUUCUGCUACUAUGAAUGAACUGCCAUGCUCCUGUUCAAGGCCAGUUCUUCCAUCUGUCUUUGGACCUUAUCUCCUCUCACCUAUCCAAGGACAUGACUCCAAAAACUCUUCCGCUCCACAAGCCAUUUCCAUCAGCAAACAUGCUCUGAUAUUUUCCAUCCUGAAACAAAACAAAUGAAAACCCCAAAACCUCCCUUGACCCCAAACCCUUGUUAACCCUGACCUCAAUUCUGUUUUAGAGCAAAAUACUUGAGAUCUGUAUAUACGCACUCUCUUCAUCUCCUUUCCUUUCAUUGUCUCUGGAGUCUAGUCCAGUCACACUUUUAUUCCCUUUUCUUUAGUGAUAACCUCCUGGUUUCUAAAUCCAGUAGUUAAGUCUCAGUUCUCAUCUUACUCUACCGUUAGCAGCAUCUGACCCAGCUUGUCACUUCUCUGUUGGCCUCUAGGUUCUCCUCCCUCCUCCAUGGCUGCUCCAUCUCAAUCUUCUUCAAUGAGUUUUCUUCAUGUCAUUGACACCUAUUUAAAUAUUCUCUCUUGAGGUAGUUUCAUCCAGUGUCAGACUUUAAAUGCCGCCUGCAUGCUGUGACUCCAAAAUUGAUAUCUCCAGCCUAGACCUCUCCACUGAAUUUCAGACAUAUGUAUCCUAUAGUACUAACUGCCAUCUUCAGGUAUAUAAUGGGCAUGCCAGCCUUGACAUCUUCGAAACUGAUCUCUUGAUUCUUUCCUAGCCACACAGCACACACACAUGCCAAGUUCCUCUUCCUACUCUCAGCAAGUAGAGACUCCAUUCUACUUCCUCAGGCCAAAAAGCUUAGAGUCAUCAUUGACUGUACUCUUCUUUCUCACAUACCACACCAAAAACAUCAGCAAAACCUGUUAGGUCUACUUUCAAAAUGUAUCCAGAAUCUGACCCCUUCUCACAGCUUCUUCCACCGCUGCCUCUGGUCCAAACCAACUUCAUUUCCUGCCUCCAUUGUUACAAAAGCAUCUUACCUGGUCUCCCUGCUUCUUCCCUUGACCCCCAUUACCGAUUUUCAACACAGCCAGCCAGAGCGAGUCCAUUAAAAUGGACUUGGCAGCUCAAAAUCUCACUCAGAGCAAAGCCAAAAUCCUUACAAAGGCCUGAAAGGGAUUUGCGGGACUACCAUUCUGACUUUAUCCCCUCUGCCUCUCUCUCACUUCUCUGUAGCCACGCUGACCUCCUUGCAGUUCCCUGAACAUAUCAAGCAAAUACUUGCCUCUCCACUUACUGGCACUCUGCUGGGAGUACCCCUCCUGCACAUAUCUUUGCAUCUAGCUCCUUCAGGUUUCUGCUCAGAUGUCUCCUUAUCAGAAAGAUCUUACCUGACAUUCCUAGAUGAAGUAGGAACAACCCCCUACCCUCACUUCCACCUCAACCCUUUCUCUUCCCCUCAUUCUACCUUGAUUUUCUGGCAGCCCAUAUUAUUAUCUGAUAUAUCAAAUACUUAUUUACUUAUCUUAUCUCUUCCCCUCUAGAAUGUAUGUAGCAUGUACAUACAGGGAAUGUAUGAAGCAGGGAAUCUGAGCCCAUAGCAGGCAUUUAAUAAAAUUUGCUAAAUAAUUAAUGGAAAGAGAGUUUCCACAGUAAACCAACAGAUAGGCAACUAGGUUAUUGCACCUUGGGCCCUUACAAGUUGGAUUAGUGAUAGUCAGUCCCCACAGAGCCCCAUCAACUCUGUUAUUUCCAGACUGAGCUUCUGGAUCUACAAAGCCAAGAAACAGACUCUGGACUACGUUAUCUCCCUGUAGGUGCUGUCUUUCUGAGACCCCUGGCUAGCAAGCUUCCCUCAAAGCAUCUCCAUCUCCUCUCAGAUUCUCUAAGUCCUGGGUCCUUGGUAUUUAAAGAAAACUGUGGCAAAUUCUUUUUGAAAUACACAUAAUCCCUCCCUGAUUAAGUUCCCAACUAUUAACUUUUGAACACUGUUUUUCUCAAAGCUGGUCACACAGGUAUUCACCCACAAAACACACACACACACACACACACACACACACACACACACACACCACUUAACUGGCAUAGUUCACUCUCUGCUUCCUGCCACAAGAUAGCACCCUCAAUUAAACAACGACUUGGUCAGCCAGAGUAGGAUAAUUUUGAUGGUUGUUUCUAGUCACAGUAUAACCACCUGUACCUUGACAAGAAAAUUGAUUAUUAUAUCAGGAGACUUCACUCUUAUUGGCAUUGAUGCAACUUUCUUUUUUCAUGUAAGUCAAACCUUUUCCCAUCCCCAGACAAUGGUGUUCUUUUGUUAAAAAUAGAAAAAUACAGCAUCCUGUGAAAAUGGCAAGAAUUUCCAUGAGGAAUUGUCUUGCUUGGAACCUUGCCUGCAUGGUACCUAAUAUAUGCCUGUGCUGCUAAGAGAACUGAAGUGACCUCUUCAGGUGAUUUUUUUCUCUUCUGUGAAAGAUUGCACUUCAGGUUUUGGGACAAUCCAAUAGAUCAUGAGAUUGGCAAAAGGAGAUGGGGGAGCCAACUGGAAAUGAGAUAGUAGCAGCAGCCUGACCUCUCCUGCACCCCAUCCACCAAAGGGAUUAAAUUUAACUAAUUGGCUAAGAAGCUAAGGCAAGGGUCUUGCGCUUUGGAAAGGGUUAGAAAGACUUUUAUGAUCUUACUAUGGUGAACCAUCAAUGAUAUAACUGAUGCAAGGUGUAGCUAGCUUGGAACAAGCCAUAUGAAAAGCAGGCAAAUUCCAAGUCAGUAGAUAAAGCUUAACUGAGUGAGUCAUUAAUUCUCCAUAUUGAAAAGAGGAGGAAAAAUUCCCUUAAUCAAGACACUAAGAACAAAUUGGGGGCAUUUAGUUAUGAACAGGGCAGUGUGAAGGAGUGUAUGUGUUACAGACCUCUCAGUGAGCGCCCUGUCUCAGCUAAAUCAUUAGAGCUGCUGCUGUGCCUGGGGACCUCUGCUCAUCUGGAGAAUGUGGGGAUACUAUCAAGACUCAGGAUGUGUCCAGAGAGAACUAAACACACUCAAGAGCAGUGCUUCUCACACUGAACUAUGCCCUCAAAUUGCCUGGGCAAUCUUUCUUAAAAGCAGAUGCUCAUGAAGUAGGUCUAAGGGGCAGCCUGGGAUUCUAUGUGUCUAACAAGUUGAUGCCAAUGAUGCUGGUCCAGGGACCUCACUUUGAGUAGCAGGGGUUAGUACUAUACAGUCUGCAACCUCAUUUCUCUUUGCAAUGAUGGAAUUGCCAAAGAGGUAGAUUUAGAUACAUAACUGAUUAGGUCAGUAGUGUGAGCAUUGCUUCUCAAAGUGUGGUCCAAGGACUAGCAGCACAGGCAUCACCAGAGAACUUGUUGGAAAUGUGAAUUCUUGGGACCUUCCAUAGAAUUUCUAAACCAGAAACUGUGGGAGUGGGACCCAGUAAUCUGUAUUUUGAUAAGCUCUAUGAAUGAUUCUGAGGUGCACUAGAGUUUUGAGACCAACUAUUCCAUCACAUUAAAAUCACCUGGAAGUUAGAAACAAACAAAAACAGGACACGGGUCCCACCUCAGAGAAUCUAAAGGCAUCCAUGGAGAUUUUUAUGUGUUGUCAGCCUUGAGAACAGCUGGGCUAGAGCAGAAAGUCAAUCCCACUCAUGAAGUUGAUUUAACUCUAAAGCAUCUCAGUAAAUCACCACAGGCUAGUGGUAGAAUGUGGACAGGUAUCUGAACAAUGUGCACCCUGGGGCUCUGGGGCUGCAAGUCUGAGAGGAUAAACAAUACAGAACAAAGUCCUGGCUCCUCUCCCUGACAUUGGGGCCCAGGUUUCUUGCUCUCUGCCACCCUACACAUAUCCCAGGUUGCCACCACACAUUUCCCUGGCUAGCCAGUCACUCUGCCUAUCCUCAUGAUGUGCUGUGGCUGAAAUGUCUCCCUGCUAUAGUGUCAUCAGUCAAAAGUUUCACCCAUCCUUAAAGGCCAAUAUCAAACUCCAGGUCUUCCAGAAAUCUCUUGCUAAACUCCCUAGCUAUUAAACUUAUCUGUCCAUAGAAUUCCAUGGCAUGUUAUAUGCGAUACAUUUAGGUUUUUUCUUGACUCUUCCCUUCUAUUUGAUUAUAAACUCUUGGACACCAAGAACCACAUUAUACUUAACUUUGCCUUUCUUGUUUUGGUGUAAGUGCUGGGCUGUGAACCUAGUAGGCACUUAGUAAGUAAGUAUUUAUUGACUCUGGGGUCAGAAAACUUGAGUUUGAGAUCUGUCUUUGCAAUUGGUGGCUUUGUGACCCAGGUUAUUAGAUCUCUCUAAGCCUCCAAUUACCUUCUCUGUAAAUGUGAACUGGAUGAUCUUCAAGGCCUCUUCCAGAUCUCAGAUUCUUCUAUUCUCUCCAGCCUAUUCAUAUCCAUGGAAAAAUAAGUCUAAACAUAAAAUUUAUUGAUACUGGGUACUGUGGAUUAGAGAUGGUCACAAAUUAUUUGAUCGGUGUCCCUUAGAGAUAUGGGGUUUAUUUCCCCUCCCCAUGAUUCUGGGCUACACUGGGACUUGCUUUGACCAAUAAUAACUGCAGAAGAAGUGACAAUGUGCCAGCUACGGGCACAGUAAAUUGGUGUGUGAGAGACUCCGAGGAGAGGCCUUGAGUCUACAUGGAGAGAGGGACCCAUGGACUCCAGCCUUGCAGCCAUCCCAGCCAAUGUGCCAGAUAUGUGAGUCAAACAGUUUUGGGCCCUCCAGACCCGCCUCACCACUAGUUGAAUACCACCAAGUGACCCCAACCUGUGUCACUCUGGAGCAGGAGAAUCA
rnacentral:lncRNA from 10 species